CUCCAGGCUCUGAACCAUCAGCCCAGAGCCCGACGCGGGGCUCGAACUCACGGACCGCGAGAUCGUGACCUGGCUGAAGUCGGACGCUCCAGUACUUCUGAAUGUGACCGCGUUUGGAGACAGGGCCUUCAAAGAGAGCUGAGAUUCUGCCAAGCCAGAGGUGCACUGUGCCCGACCCUCUCACUGCCAUCAACAGCCAAGCGGAGCUCUGCCCAGCCAUCCUAGAGAGUAUGACAUAGUAUCUCAUUGUGGCUUCAAUUUGCAUUUCCCGGAUGACUACUGCACGUGCAUAUUGGCCAUUUGUAUACGGCUAUUGGUAAAUUCGACAAGAUUCACGGGAGUGAUGGCUGUUGAGGCCAGCUGAGUUACAGAGAGAA